CGCCGUCCUCGCCGGAAUAGGCAUACUAAUCUUCCUCAUCCUCCGGAGAGGGAGCCUGAGAAACGGCUACCACAUCCAAGGAAGGCAGCAGGCGCGCAAAUUACCCAAUCCCGACACGGGGAGGUAGUGACAAUAAAUACUGAUACAGGGCUCUUUUGAGUCUUGUAAUUGGAAUGAGUACAAUGUACAGGUCCUGCCAACGCCCCCCCAGGAGGUCCCGUAGCG
rnacentral:ncRNA from 1 species